rnacentral:rRNA from 1 species
AGCCUGCCUUGGAGAGGGGAAUAACACUCCGAAAGGAGUGCUAAUACCGCAUGAUGCAGUUGGGUCGCAUGGCUCUGACUGCCAAAGAUUUAUCGCUCUGAGAUGGCCUCGCGUCUGAUUAGCUAGUAGGCGGGGUAACGGCCCACCUAGGCGACGAUCAGUAGCCGGACUGAGAGGUUGACCGGCCACAUUGGGACUGAGACACGGCCCAG